GCAUAGCCGCUGGAUUUAUGCAAAUGUCAGUGUUCCUCUUCAGGAACAAGGUAAGACAUUUAAGACAAUCUUUUCACUGGGAAACAAACACUUUGCUCUGCUAGGGGGAAGUUUAAUCAUUUGAUGGAAGAAUUUCCAUUUCUUCAGGCAUGCACCGACGUGCACAGACUCACAUGUAAUCUGACCCUGAAGAAAGGCUUGUGCUGGCACCCUCCCAGUGACCUCAGAGUAUCGUGCAUUGUCAUGUGAGAAUAACAAGGUGCCAUACAGGGUUAUGUUAAGGGAGAAAAGAGGACCAGGAAACCAAGAAAUCAAGACUCCGAAAUGCAAAGGGUGGUCGCUUUGAGUCUCAGUAUGUCAAGGAAUUCCAAGACAGCACAGGCCACUCUUCAUCACUUAUUAUAAUUGUAUGCUGCAACCGAAGCAAAGUUCCUUGUUGGAACUCUUCAGAAUCCUGGUGGAAACAACCUAUCUUAAUUGUGGCAGAACCAGGGUGAAACACGUAAAAGAGAACAUUCGCUGUGGUCCUGACAUCUGACUACAAAGGAACGGAAGGGACUCUGGCUAAACCACCCUACUCUACAGUCAUCCAUUUUCUCUGCCCUAUGCUGGAGCUCCUGAGGGUGUUUACAUUUUUGGCGGUAGGUAAGUGCAUAGAAACACAGUUGCUAGUGGAAGCGUAAAACCCACUGGGAAACUCAACAGCCUCAGAAUGGCUUUUCUAACUGUUGGGGCUGGUUAAUUAUGUGUGUCUUUUUACUAUUAUCUGAGAGUUCUUUAUGAUCUUAAUAAACAAAAAAUGGAGGCGCAUGGAAGUUACGUAACAUCCCUCGGGCAGCGUGCUCGGUAAGUACAAAAUCAUAUCAAUCAUAUCUCAGUGUGGUUUAGAGUGGCUCUAAAGACAGGUUUUGUCCUUGACUCCACCCAGUGUCCGGAGAGGCGGUGCCCGAGACAGUGGGUCCUGCAAGGCAGAACAGAAGACAGGACUGGGCUAGUAAAGGAUGCCCCUGAGGCUGGAAGAGAGCAAAGAGCCAUGGUGGUUGAGAGGACAGACAAGGGGCAGCUGUGGGCAGAUGAGCGGGAAACCAUCAGCAGUUGCUGAUGCGAAGCCUAGGUUCGGGCUUUUGUUUGUAAUGAGACAGGAUGUCAGGCUUUGUCCCUGAGAGCAAGAGAGGUUUUCUCCUAAUGUUUAUGUGUUUGCCCAGCACAGAACACAAUCAAGGCCAAUAAAAGAAAAGAGAUCCACAAUGCCACAGAUGUACUCAACAUCCUCGUUCGGAAAUGACAUGCACAUCUUUUACUGAAAUGUGAAAGCAAAUUUCUGAACUACCUUUGAUUGAGAGCAAAUAAAUUAAAUGCAUCUGUGAUGUACUGUCA